rnacentral:ncRNA from 1 species
UGGCUCUGGAGAAUCCCAAUAACGGGUACCGAAGGUGCAAGGCGCGCACUGCGGCGGCGCUGAAUCUCUCAGGUAAAAGGACAGAGUGG